CAGACAGACACCGUUUAUUCCUGGAUGGACGCCAACAGAGCCGCGGCCUGGACACGAAGUGGGUCAAAACCAGCAUAAAUUAAACCUUUAAUUCCACCUUAAAACGCACUGAAGGUGGUUAUUACACCUUAAAACCCUCUAGUGCUUCUCCAGUGGUUGGCUCAGAUCUCCCUCCUGGGAUCAGACCAGGUUCUGCUCUCCAUCAACCAAACCUCCUCCGUCCCUCUGGGGGUCCGGUGGAGGCGCCGCGCCUCUUUCCCUCGACGACGAGAUCCAGGAACAGAUACGGAGCACAAAUCCUGCGGAAUUCACUCGGACAGGAAGUUGGACUGGAGCAGGAACGCUGUGAGCGCUGAACAGGAAGGAGCAGAGCCGCCUCCUUUUCCUGUCAACGGGUUCUUCAGCAUCUGACCACGAACGUCUGAUGAAGGGAAAACCGAAUCCCCAGAAGUCCCUCAGCGUCUCCAGUUUAAAGAAGAAGAAAAACAAGUGAAUGGAAAUGUUUGUAGAUGUAAUUUAAU